GCUGUCAAUUUUUGUAUCGUUCAUUCGGUUUUCAGCUGGUAAAAAUCAUUCCAACGACAAAGCAUCUCUGUGAUUUAUACCUUAGCGCUCUGCAUCGCAAGUGCAAUGCUGUACCAGCACUCUUCUUGUGUGGUCCGGAGCUCACAGUCAUUCCCAAACAAUCGGCAUUAAUCCAGCGAGUUUGGGGUCUUGAGUGCAGCUCUGCCAGAGAGCGUGUUCUUCCUGCAGGCUUCACGUUGGCCCCGUUCGGAGGCACGCUAUAGGCCCCGCUCAGCCACACCAAAAGCCCAGUGCUCGGGGCCCUUUCUCAGGGACCCCUCCAUCCACUCACCCCCUAAACCCCGCGCUCUUUCUUUGCCAGACGCUUGUAUGAUGGACUGGUGUGCUUUAAUGGGCCUCCAGCUCAUGGUUCAAGACAAAACAGGGCCCCUGAGAGGAGGACAACGUGACCUGACUCUCUCUCACCUGAUAUGCAUAGGAAAGAAAUAUCUCACGAUCGCUUUAAUGUUUCUUCUUGACAGCAAUGAAAUUAAAUGGAGAUCUUUGCUUAAAUUCAAUGCUGAAGCACAAUGGAGCUAUUUACAGUAUUAACAUAAAUUUUUGUCUUAUUGCAUGUCUUAAACGCUUACCCCGUGCUGUAAGAUGUGUUUACUCGCUUUCAGAUGUGCAUCUUUUUUUAGCAUAAUUAGUCUGCAAUCUGCAAAGCCUUUCAAGUAUUGUUUAAUAAAAUUCUCCAAAA